CUAGUCCACAUUUUACUAACUUACUGUUCUUCCAAAUGAAUGUGAGAUCCCUAUCAGUCAUAAACAAUAAAAUCCUGAAAACUGGUAUUCAGUGGCCUAUGGCUUGCGAAGACCUGUAAAUAUUGCUUUUGAUUCUUUCAGAAGCGAGCAUGCAAGCCGUUAGAAACCAUUCCAAAUGAGGCUGAUGCUCGCCUCAUUGACUGUGCCAUGGAGCUGGAUUCUAAACAGAAAAUCUCCGCUGACUGUGAUCCCUGGGCUACAAAGACAAAGCAAAAUUCAAUGAUUUUUGAAAACCAUGGAAGCAGAGGUACUGCCCAGCCUUGCCCAAGAUGUAUUGCUGGAGAAUCUGGACACUUCAGUCAUAUCCUGGGCUUCUAGAAAUUGAGAGACGGCAAGUCAGCAGCACUGCUUUUCUGUUUACAUUCUAAACAUGCACCUGUGAACCCUGUACAGCUGGAUAUCUGUACAUUCACUCACGGCGUGGAUUUGUAUGUGGUAUUCAGCAUAUAGCAGUUUGCUGUAUGUGUUACUCUUUUAGUGCACAAUGAUGGAUAUCAUUGUUUUUACACUUGAAAAAAUGCUUCUGCUUUUAAGGUAGCUCGAUAUAUGUUUAAAAAAAAUUUGAUUUAAUGUUUUAGGCUAGUUAAGUUGAUCUGGCCUUUGGCCCAGUCUUCACCUUGGACUGGGCCGAAGGUCAUGUUGAUACAAGAGAUUUUCCUGUCUCUCUUGGGCACUUUCUCUGAUACUCUUGGAAAACGGUCCUUGCAUUUACAUGUGUACAGGGCCUGCAGUUUUAGCUCAGCCCUAUAUAUGCAGGCAGAUAUGGGAGGACAGAAGUGUCUUCAUUUUUAGAUGGCUAUUCAGCUUUGCAGCUGUGAAGGCCAGUAAAAAUCCUGUUGAAACUUAUGUUUAAAUCCAAAAUAUGCAUCCAAUUCAGAUAUCUUACAUGUUAUACUUCUACUUUGUUUAUAACAAGCAGUUUGUGAAUGUGGUAAGUAACUAAUAGAAAAAAGAGUAUUAUUUGAACAACCCUCUAUAAAGUGAAGAUGAAUAGUAAUUUGGAGUCCUCAAAAAGUUGUUAAGAUACCAUCUGACACUCCCUGACUCUGUCUUUCCAGUUAUUGUGAUAUUAGAACAAAUCUGUUUAAAAAGUCUUGAAGUUGUCAUCUAGCAUAAUUUUAUUGGUUUGUCACAAAUAAUUUCAUCUACAUUUUGCCAGUAUGUAGGACUAUGUAAUUUUUAAACACAUUCAGAUUUUUAGACUCUUAGGUAGCUGAGUUGUGCUAUUUGGGUGUAACACUUCACUGGCUGCUCUGGUUUAGGCAGAAGGGUCCUGAAAGCUUAGAACUGAAUGGCAGCGUGUUAACCCUCUGCACCGGAGGGAAAUUGCUGUGACCUGCCAAAGUUCACAAAGCAAGCAAUCUCCACUGUCUGGAGAACUGCUGAGCUAUAACUCUGCCCUGCUGCCACUCAGCUCUCAGGCAGAGUUCAACCCAAAACAGAUACGGCAGGCAUAACAGCAUUUGGCCUCUCCUGUUCUGAGAGCAACCAGUAGCCAGUUUAAAUUAAAAUGGUAGCUCUGAAGUUGCAAAAAUCUAGUGACAGGCUUUUAAAGGUUAGUUUCCCAGUGGGUUUUAUCAGACUGCAAAAUCCUUAGACAAAGGUUCUUCAGAGUCCUAAAAUGCUUCCCAUAUUGUGCGUGAAGUUGUAGCUGGCACUGAGUUGACUGCUAUUAAGGAGAUUCUUCCUAAAUGUAUGACUAUCAUAUAAAUACUGAAUUCAAUUAAGUAAUAGAUAAGGAAAUAAGUCUAUAAAGCAGACCUGCACUAAAUUGGCAUAUAGACUAUUUGGUUAGGAAGGAAUAAGUUUCCUCCACGCCAAUAUAAAUUUUAGUUACAUCAAAAAUAAGUAUUUUCAAAGAGAAAUUUUUCAGACACUUCAAAAUUUUCUUCAAUCACAAGAACAGUACAAUCCCUUAAAAGAUCAAAUCUCCAAGAAGCACAGCGGUUUUAAAAAUUGUAUUGUCCCUGUCACCUUGAAGAUCUGAAACUCAUCUUGAAUCCUCCCACUCCCAAUGCAGGUUGAUGCAAGCAAUAGCAUCUAUCCAAGCUAGAAAGGAACAUGUCCUCACUUGAAAUGACAGAAUGAUGAGCAAAUUCCUGCAUACUGAUAUCAGAGUUUAUCAAUUAGUGCAAAAUAAGAAACAAAAAUGUUUCCUAAAGACUGAAAUUACAUAUCUGUUACCAAGAUAACUAGAUCAUAUUUUGUGGGCAGUUCAUUUUCACAACAUUUUCCAACCCUUGUUUUUUAAAAAUCCUGCUAACAAUGGCAGUCAAAAAAAAGAUGGCUAAGCAUCAGUCCCUGUGCUGUAAAAGUUGAAAUAAAGUAAAAGGCUAAACGGUAUCUGAAGGUUUAGUUACUGCAAAAUGACUCAAAACCUGUUAUGCUUUAUCAAGUAAAAUGUAUGACAAGU